UUGUCCAGUGCACUAGGUGGACACUCACACUUAAGAACAUGAAAAGAGCCUGCUGGAUCAGGCCAAUGGCCUAUCUAGUCCAGCAUCCUCUUCUCACAGUGGCUGAUACUCUCCCUGUUCUACUAAAUCUUGCUCUUCUUGCCUCCACAGCUUCUUCCAUGCAUUAUCCAAAAUGCCCUGGCACCACAUUAUCCACAUUCUCCUGGCACCAUAUUUUUUGUCUUAUUUAACUGCUGACUUGGUUCCAAUAAUUUCGUGCUUUUGCUGCUGUUUGAUACUGUAUUUUUUGUUUCACACAAAUGUUGUUAGCUGUCUUGAAGGCAUUUGUGGUGAAAGGCAGGACAGAAACUUUAGAAAUAAAAUAGCGAAUCAAAUAGUCUGAAGGAAGCCAUACUUCUUUGACCCUUUUUCAUGGAGAAUAAGGCUAUUCCAUUGCUUCUGGCCAUGAUGGUUGUGUUCAAUCUCUGCUGUUGGAGGCAAGGGGCCUUUGACUACCAGUUGCUGGGAACUGAAUUUAUGACUUUUGUGUCUGUAGCAGGUAAGACCAACAUGGAGUGUCCUAAACUCCACCGUGGAAGAAAUGCAAGAAGACCUGAAAACCAGUAGCAGGUCAAAUGCUGCUAAUCUGUUGCAGUGACUUGACAUCUCUUGAUGUAAUGGUAUUGUUUUAUGCAAUGAGCAGUAACAGCUCCAAAGAAUAAUCAGUCUGUCUAUUGAUUUGGCUUGUUUAGUGUUACUGUGCCUAAUCAAUAAACCCCCAAAGUAUCUCGUCAUAAUGGCUGCUUUGCGUUCGCCUCUCUAGUAGCUUUCCAGCUGCCCAGAAAGUGGGAUCAAUACACUGAAAAUGCUCUUCCACACUCGUUCUUAUGAAAUGUUUGUAUUUCUCCAUGUGAGUUUUAUGCUGGUAAAUGGCUUUUCCAAUAUAUCAAGGGCUUUUUCUUUUUCUUUUAAAGGGUUCCAUAUUGCAAUGCAUACACCACACAAUCACCAGGCCAUGUGGGGGAUGCUUUCAAGGUCACUGGUGAAUUGACUAAAGGAGAUUCAUAAACCUUUCAAGUUAUACUGCGCAGAUAUAGAACAAAAGCCAGCUAAGUGGUUCCAAAUGGUCCGCAUGCAGAGAAGUUUGCAGGGUCAUUAGGGUUGGUUUCCAGCCCCUCCUGAGAUUUUUUUUAAAACAUCACAUGGUAAGUAGUACACCUUGAUAUCCUGGGUACUUUUGGAAAAGUCUGGGGAACUCAUCUGCAAUCCUGAAAAUCCUGUGCCAGAUAACAAAGAGACCAGGUGUAGCUAAUCUGGUGCCCUACAGAUUUUUUGAGCUACAACUCCCAUCAUCGCUACUAAUUGGUCAUGCAGGCUGGGGCUGAUGGGAGUUGUAGUCUGCAACUGUAAAGUGACUGUUUCCCCCCAUUGUCAGAUGAGUGCUUGACAAAAAUUUACUUGGAGACCCCAAAAUAAGGUUUACCAGUGACAUUUUGUAGCCCCCUACAAGUAGAGAGAGGUGUGUGAGUGUGCGUAGUAACUAGUCUACUGAACAAGGGCAAAAUGUACAUUAAUUGCUCAGACCACUUUUGCCUCUGGCCCCACCAACCGCUGGCAUGUUGCCCCAGAAGACUAUUUAGAAGGGAACACAACUUUCGAGCUGGGAAAUGUUUCCCACCCCUGGUCUCAAGAGUUCAUGCUUGAUUUGUGACUGUCGCCCUUUCUGUACUUCCAUGGUGCAGAUCUGGGAAGCUGGAAGACAGUGGAUUCCAUCUGCAAUCCUAACCACACUUAACCUGGGAGUGAGUCCCAUUCAAUUUAAUAGGACUUACUUCCGAGCAAACAUAGGAUUGCAGCGUUUGGCACCUUCUGGAAUGGAUGGCCUUCACUCUUUCCUUCACCCAUUAUUCAGAAGAGAGAGAGAGAGAAUUUGAUCUUACAAGGUAGUUUGUUUCGAUUCUUGUUCAUUGUUAGCCAUGCUCACUAUGGGGAAUCCAAAAUCAAAAGGAUGCUCUGCAUCAGAAAGGGCUGGAGAAAUUAUUUGUACUUGCUUCCACAAGCUCAGGAAAAUAAAGAGAUGCUAAAAAAAGAAAUGUGCUUCAGGGUCUUGUGCUGGCCUUUCAGAGAUUAAAAAGAUGCAUAAAUUGAUCUCAGCAUGCUACACGGGUCGUGGAUUGCUCUUUCGAAUCUUUGAAGAGCUGGUGUUAGUUUGCCCACCUUUGCAAAGUAAUAGGCCUUGGUUAAAGAAACUGCUCCUAUCUCUCUCUCUCUUGCAGGGGAUGGGGAAACUGGCUCCCCAUUUGUCAUGGGAACUCCGACUCCCACCAUCCCUAGCCAGCAUGGCCAAUGGUUAGGGAUUAUGAUAGUUGAGGUCGGACAACAUCUGGAGGGCCACAGGUUCCCCAUCCCUGCUGUACUGGAAGCAAAGGACGUAGGGCUGAUUCACACACAUGUUUCAUCACCCAGUGCCUGCAACAUCAGUGGUGGAUUUCAUGGUUGAAAGAGCCUUGGUAGUUGUGCCUGUUGCUCCAUUAGAUCCCUCAGGAUCUCUCCUCUUUCUCUAAGGCACUUUUGGCCAACUGGUCUCCUGCAGGCUGGAAUCAGCCCCUGAAACAGUUUUGUCCAACCCAUUGACAAAUCUACCAAAUUUUAGAUGAGGUGUAGGAAAAGGUUUGUAAGAAGCUUUAUCCUUAAGGAAAAUUGCAUUCAGGUGGCACAAGAAACUACCCACCCAUCCCUGAUAUUGUCAUUAUAUUAACAGACUGUGGAUCAGGAGGUGAGGCAUUUCAGCAGUGAACGAUUGCUAAAAGCACUAAGGAUGCCAUGAGUGGGAUUUGCUGGGCCAAAACAUAUAUGGUGGUAAAUAAAAAAUUGCCCCUGAGUAAAUUGGUUGAGUUUACUUUCAUUGUGCACCUGGGAUCAAGCCUUGGUUAUUUGAACAACUUCUUUGUUCUGCAGAUGAGCUUGCACAAUGUACCUUGUUAACUCCUGUUCCCCCUGCCUGCAGGACUAACCAAUGAUUCCAUAAAAAGAAAAAGACAUACUGGGUCUCCCCAUUGGAAGGCCAUUGUACCCUAGGGCUGGAAAGCUUCUCUUAAUUCCAGAAAGGGCAGGACUGGUUGUGGUUGCUUAAUGGACAGCAAAUAUCACUGCUGCCUGUAUAUAAGGGCUAAAUGCUGGUAAGAACAAAGUUAUAUUAAUCCCAUCAUUCUUCUAAAGAGUUUGGGCAGUGCACAAGGGCUCAUAUUGUCUUCACAACAACCCAGUGAGGUAGGGUAGGUGGAGUAAGCUUUGCAUUUGAACAGGGAUUUGCACCUCGUCUACUCAGUACAAGUCCAGCACUUACACUAAGAAGAGCCUUGUUGGAUCAAGCCAAUGGCCCAUCCAGUCCAGCAUCCUAUUCUCACAGUGGCCACCCAGGUGCCAAGUCCUCAAGCAGGACCUUAGCACAACAGCACUCUCUCCUGUGGUUUCCAGAAUCUAAUGUUCAGAAUCAUUACUGCCUCUUAUCAUGGACUGCUAGUAGCAAUUCAUAGCCUUUACCGCCAUGCAUUUGUGCAACCUCUUAAAGCCACCCAGGUUAGUGGCCACUGCUGCUUCCUGUCGGAGGGAGUUCCAUAGUUUAACUAUGUAUUGAAGUACUUUCUUUUUUCUGUCCUGAAUAUUCCAACAAUGGAUUCUUCCAAUGAACUUCAAACUACACUACAAUGGUUAUCAAAAGUUUGAGCAGUGGGUGGAAGAGCAACUGAAUAUGUGUUUUUAAUAAGUCACGAUGCAUUUCAAGCAAAUAUGUUCUUGAUCAGGGGACAUAGGAUAUGGGUGAAGCUGCUGUACCCUCCUCAUAAGUUUUCACUGUCCUCUCCUGUAUCUUCUCCAGAUAUAUAGGGUGUCCAGUCCUGGUGAGGUUGACCCAUGAACCAUGGAUGGCUUGGGAGAAAAGAGGUUUUGGCAAGAAAGAAGCAGACGGAAAAUGAGCAGGGACUGCAUGUCCAGUCGAAGAGCAGCUGCCCUUGAACCAGAUAACACAGGCAGUCCAUGAUAGGUCCUUCAGCACCAUGGACAGAUCCUAGCCAGCAAACAACCUGUCUCAUUAGAUUAUUAACUUCACCUGAACCAUUUAUAGCAGGGAUUGAGAACCCCUGUUCCUCUAGACCUGCCUUCACCAACCUGGUGCCUUCCAGAUGUUUCAGACUACAACUUGGAGAUCAAAGUUUCUGAUGGGCACCAGGUUGGCAAAGGUCACUCUAGAAAUUAUUGAAUUGCAACUCCCAUCAUCAUGACUAUCGGGCUGAUGGGAAUUGGUAUCCUGCAACAUCUAGAGAACCGUGGGUUCCCAACCCAAGCAUUACAACCUUCCUGGGCUAUAAGGGCCAGACUAUCCCUCCAUCCUGAGCAGUAGCCCUCUGGUCUGGAGCCAAGCAGCCCAUCACCCCGCUGUUCAUUCCUUCUGGGUGUAUUGGUGAGUGGGCGCCAGCAAGAAGCAGAGUCUUCCCUAGGAGGUGAUGGUGGUAUAUUCAGGCACAGUGAAUCUGUAUUUGUUGUCGUCAUCAGCAUCCUCCUAUUUUCCUUUCAAGAGAUUCAGAGUUGCUAACAAUAAAAUACAUGCAAUAGUAAACUGGAUAAGCCAACAACCCAUUUAAUAACAACUCAGCCUUAUAAAAAGGGAAACGGCUACAUUCUACCCAAGGCAAAUGGCAGGCAAACAUCAUUUCCCAUCCCUCUCGCCCAGAGACCUCCCUUAAGAAACAUGUUUUGGCCAACUGAUGAAAGUAACAUGAAGCCUGGCGGGCUUCUCUGAAAAGAGCAUCCCGCCGUGUCCCCUUAAAUGCAACCCAGCCUCCAGCCACCACCAUUCCUCUCUUUAGGAGAAAGCCUGCUGCAGGCAUGAAUUAAGAGUCCUGCCAAGGAGCUGUAUAUAACCCUGUUUUAUAAACGUUUCCAACGUCUGUUAGGGAUCCUGAAUGGGCUGUCAAAUUUCAACAGACAUCCCAUCAGCGGCUCUUCAUUUGACGUACAGUAAUUAAUUUAGAAAGAAAGGAUCUGAUCUUGCAUGUGUGAAUUACUCUUCAAGUAUGUUCAAUUAUACUGACUGCACCACUCCCUGUAAUCCCCUAGAGCCCCUUUCCAGAGUGUGUAUGUAGCAUGAGGGGUAAUCGUAUCCCAGUCCCUGGCUGUGCUUUGGCCAUCUGAUGGUCUCGCGCUCAGGAGCAAGCUGAUAAUCCCCCUUCCAGACAAUGCCCAUCAGGGAGGCUGCUUUUCACUCAGCCCUGCUGCAGACCCAACAAAACAGCCUGCGGGCACAUCGCAGGCCUGACCCACCGCGCCUCUCUCAACUUAUUUGGAUUGACGUCUCCUUUUGUCGAGGACCUGCUCCUCGCUGUUUGGCAGGCUCGGCCCUGCGCACAGCCUCUCUGCGUUGCCGUCAUGAGAUAAAAGUGGGCAUUUUCCCAUGUCAUUUGCUGUUUUGGUGCGAAGCUGUGAGCUGGGCUCUGCGAGAAGCUGCCCUUGCUGUGGCUCUUGCAUCUGCGCAGGGGUCCUUCUUUGUUAAUCAGGUGCAAAAGAAAGGAGGCAGACAAAAAUAAGAAUUGAGUGAGAUUUUAUUUUUUUAACAACCCUCCCCAUCAUGAAUUUUUCAGAAGCAUGCCAACGUCUUGGAACAGUGCAGGGGCUCUUUGGAUGUAGAUUUCCAAGAGACCUUGCAGAAAACAAAAUAAUAGGGAGGAGAGUUUCCUGUUAAUUUUAAUUCUUCAUCUUCACGUUUAGCUAUUGCCUUUGACCAUUUCAGUGCAAGCCUGUGUCUUUUCUUGAGCACCUGAAUCCCAUCCAUUCUGCUGACUCCACUUGACCUUCAACUUUGUCCUUUGUGCUAUGAGGUUUAUAGCUAAACACUAUUAUGUUUUAUUGCAAAAUGGAGGAUGAGGUGAAUGUGUGUCCCCCCCCCCUUACACACUCUAUCCCAGCAUUAGCAUCAUCCCAAGUGUAGCAUUUGUGUUCCUGCAGUUCUUUGGUAUAAAUAAAUACUCAAGCAAGAAGACCAAUCUGUGCUCCACUAGGAAUAAUAAAGAAAAAUAAUAUGCCAUUGAUUUUGCUUGGGGUGUCUAAAUGUGUUUUUAUGAUUGUAUAUGUUUAUUGCUUUUCCACACUAACGUCAUGAAUUCCAGGCAAUUAAAAAGGACAUGAAUUCCAAA